rnacentral:rRNA from 1 species
AGUUUAAACCCAAGCCAAAGGGUAAAUGGGUGGGGGCCAACUCUAAAAGGAAGGACCUGCCCGGUUGACCAAAACCGGGAGGAAAGGUGGGGAUGAACGUCAAGUCAUCAUGGGCCCUUAACGGCCUGGGCUACACAACGUGCUACAAUGGUUCGGUAACAGAGGGUUGCCAAGCCGCGAGGUGGAGCUAAUCCCAUUAAAACCGAUCGUAGUCCGGAUCGCAGUCUGCAACUCGACUGCGUGAAGUCGGAAUCGCUAGUAAUCGCGAAUCAGAAUGUCGCGGUGAGUACGUUCCCGGGCCUUGUACACACCGCCCGUGAAUCA